UUGAACGCUGGCGGAAUGCUUUACACAUGCAAGUCGAGCGGCAGCGCGGGGGCAACCCUGGCGGCGAGCGGCGAACGGGUGAGUAACAUAUCGGAACGUACCCAGACGUGGGGGAUAACACAUCGAAAGAUGUGCUAAUACCGCAUACGACCUGAGGGUGAAAGGGGGGGAUCGCAAGACCUCUCGCGUUUGGAGCGGCCGAUAUCGGAUUAGCUAGUUGGUGGGGUAAAGGCUCACCAAGGCGACGAUCCGUAGCUGGUCUGAGAGGACGACCAGCCACACUGGAACUGAGACACGGUCCAGACUCCUACGGGAGGCAGCAGUGGGGAAUUUUGGACAAUGGGCGCAAGCCUGAUCCAGCCAUGCCGCGUGAGUGAAGAAGGCCUUCGGGUUGUAAAGCUCUUUCAGACGGAAAGAAAUCGGGCGCGUGAAUAGCGUGCCUGGAUGACGGUACUGUCAGAAGAAGCACCGGCUAACUACGU
rnacentral:rRNA from 1 species